rnacentral:rRNA from 1 species
GACAGAGGGUGCAAACGUUGUUCGGAUUUACUGGGCGUAAAGCGCGUGUAGGCGGCCUUGCAAGUCGGAUGUGAAAGCCCACGGCUCAACCGUGGAAGUGCAUCCGAAACUGCAUAGCUUGAGUCUCGGAGAGGAAGGUGGAAUGCUUGGUGUAGAGGUGAAAUUCGUAGAUAUCAAGCAGAACACCUGCGGCGAAGGCGGCCUCUGGACCGGCACUUGACGCUGAUGAGCGAAAGCUAGGGGAGCAAACGGG